GGAAAUCAAAGGAUCAGGUGGAGGAGGAAGAAGAAGGAGAUUCUGAAAUGGUGUCAUAGAAACCAAGGAAGGAAAUAAUUUUUUUUAAAAAAAGUCAUACUCAACAAAACCUCCCCAAAAAGGAGACCAAGAGAUCAAACAAGGAAUUGAAAUUGCAAUUCAGGUAAACAUCUGCCAGAUGCACAAAAGAUUGUCCACCAGCCAAAAGAAGAUAAAGAAAAUUGUCUGUCCAUCCAUCCCCAUCACGUACUUCUUGCUCAAAAAGAAGAGGCUUUUGCCCACCAAGUGGGAAGACACAACAGGCAGAGAAGAUUGAAGUCAUCUGUCUGGAAUUCCAAAAGCCGACAACAGCCAUUUCAGAUCUUCGCGUUUUUUCCCUCAGAUGUGACAGACAGAGAUCAUCAUGUAAAAUCAGGGCAGAAAAAAGUGCAGAAUGGAAAUUUUUAUUCACAUUUUGGAAGAAAGUAUGUCACAAAUAGAGUCAAGUGGCAAAAAAAAGAAAAGAAAUAAAAAAUUUCCCAAUGUCA
rnacentral:lncRNA from 1 species